rnacentral:lncRNA from 1 species
GACAAGUCCGCUUAAAGGCAACACUGCUUAAUACGGAGAAGCACUUGAGCGGUAGGAUACAGCCGUCAAGCCUGUACAUCUAGGAGAUGAUUUUGGAAGUGCUAAGAAG